UACGUAGGUCCCGAGCGCUGUCCGGAUUUAUUGGGCGUAAAGCGAGCGCAGGUGGUUUAUUAAGUCUGGUGUAAAAGGCAGUGGCUCAACCAUUGUAUGCAUUGGAAACUGGUAGACUUGAGUGCAGGAGAGGAGAGUGGAAUUCCAUGUGUAGCGGUGAAAUGCGUAGAUAUAUGGAGGAACACCGGUGGCGAAAGCGGCUCUCUGGCCUGUAACUGACACUGAGGCUCGAAAGCGUGGGGAGCAAACAGG
rnacentral:rRNA from 1 species